GAAGGCUCUCUGGUUGGAGGUCCCUGCUUGGUGGUGUUUUCCCUCUGAGCCUGGAUCUUCAGAGAUGGGAAUAAAAGGAAGAUUUUGAUAAUGGAAUUGGUGGUACUUCCCUUUUUGUAACUGGCUUGAAAGAAGCUGCUAUUGCACGAAGUCCCUCUAUCUGUGAGCCCAGUGAGCUGUUUUGGGCAGACACAUUCUCAUAACCUUUGUGAGCCUUCGGCUUUGGAGGUCCUAAAGCUGCUAUUGUUCAGUCAGUUUCCAAGCUCAAGAAGAAUGUUUUCUUCAUAAAGAAUAUGUUAAAUAUUACCAGAAUUUCAGCAUCAGUUUUAUAUUUCAGGCAUAUGAUUUGGCAUGUUCUGUGAAUGAUGAAACAUAGCUUUUAAGUUAUGAUUUAAUUUAGAUUUUUUAAAUUAAAAUAGCAGCUGUUUCUCUACAUGUGAAAUGUGAGUCCACUGUAACUUCACUUGUAUAAGUGCUGUUUUCAAGGUAUAACAUACUGUAUAACCCAAGAGCAGAAUAAGGCUGGAUUCAGUAAAAGUACACGUCUAGUUGCACUGAGAGAGUGCAAGGCUCUGCUAAGCUUGACAAAUCAUUGUCAAGAGCUUGGAUAAAGUUUAUUUUUCUCUUUAGUUUUUAUUCUUUUGCCAGACAUACCUAUUCUCUCUUUGCUUGAGCUGAGUCUGAAGAUUGGUAAUAUGGUUUAUGGGAAUUACAGUGGUAUGACAAGUUUCAAUAAAGGAUAAACUGGAUGAAGGUAGAGGAGAACUUUUGGUAGAGCACAACUUUUGGAUUACAUGCUGGACAACAACUAUAUUGGCAGAGAAGUUCCUGUGCAGAGAGAGAAUGAAAGAUAAUGUAUUAUUUAAGUUCUGUUUCAAGAACAUAAGAAGUCAGUGUGCGAUGUUGUGAAGAGGGUAAAAUUCCCCUUGCAUUUAGAUGUGUUUCUGAUGCCAUGGUAAAUCAUAAACAAUAUAGGCUGAAAGAUGCUAUAUGGAGUUCUAAAAGAUUAAUUUUUUCAGUGGGACUUGGAUUUUUUCAAAGGCUUAAAACACUGAUGCCUUUGCACAGUAUUUUGCAUUAGAUUUUUUUCCUAGGAAUGUCUGUAGUUUGUUUCCCCCCUCCCUUUUUUGCGUGUGCUUUCAUGAACUUCUAGAAGAAAUUGAUUGUUUUUUUCUGGGUAAUUCACAGAGAUGAAUAUGAAUACAGCCAGGUUAUCCAAAUGUGUUAACAGCUAUGUGUUGUUGUAGGUUGUAGGCAGGGAGGUCACUUCUUUAGGAGCACAGUAAUAGGAAAUAACUUAGGAUAGAAUCUUGCCACACUAAGGAAAAAACAGCUCUAACUCCAGUAAAUGAUGCUGUUCUCAAUCACUGUCCUUUUUUUACUUACUGCUUUGUACUUAGAGGCAAUUGUAGAGUAGACAGGAUCCAGCACUUCAGGAUAUCUGCACAGGGAGGGACAGUAGGUCCAUUUUUCAUGCAUCUAUCUGCUCUCAGAAUUUCACUCGUGUCUCUUCUUGGGGCGUCCUAGGAAGCAGUGCUAAAAUGAAUGUCCUUGACACUUCCUGCACUUCAUUCUAGGUAUUGCACAUCAUUUAUAUACAGUCUCACAAUGGAAUAAUUUUUUUUAAAGAUAUUGUGGGUAGCCAAAAUAUGUGGAACUACUUAUAUGAGGACAAAUUUCAGUGUAAAUCUUAAUGCUGUGUGCUUUUUAGUCUUUUUUUUUUUAAUGGAAUUCUUUCCAUGUGCAGCAGUCCAUGGUUAAAGCUGGGCAAAUAAGCUCUUUGUAUCUCCACCUCCUGCAAAAUCAAAAAUCAAAAGGUUAAGGGGAUGAGGAAAAUUCAGGGUAAUACACAAUGACUUCCUGUAAUUAAAAAAAAAAGUCCUUCAUGUGAUUGGCUAAAAUAAUUAUUUGAGAUCAACAGCUGUAACAUAAAAUAAGCAAUUUUUUUUGCAUUUUUACCACUAGAAUUUAUUUAAAAUAUUCCUUUAAAAAGCAGCUUAUUUCAUGAGAUGUACCAAUGAUUUGAUAUGAGUGGUUGAAAUGUUUCAUCCAGAAAAUAUUUUGGUAAAAUGUUCAGCCAUGCUUUCUUCAUUCCAUUUUGCUAUUUCAAAUUAUUUGAUGAAUUUGACCUGAAUUUUCAGAUGUUUUCUACAUGUUGUCCCAGCAUGACAUUUCCUGACAAAGAUAUUUGUCUGAAAAAUAUUACCCCAUUGCACUGGACGUACCUGUGUGCCUGCAAGGCACUGGUAGAGAAUGGAUGUUGAAAGAAGAGACCGAUUACUCUUCACAUAAGUAACCUCCACCAAGAAAUUCUGUUAAGAGAAGUAGAAUUGUUAAUGCAAAGACUUUCACUGGGCAAAAUCUGGUACAGAAUGAAAGUGAUAAAUCAGUGACUUAAAUCAAAACUCGAGGUCCAUAAAUUCCUUUUUCAGCAGUAGGUUAAACUGUCAGGUUUAACAAAAGCUUACAACGCUCGCCUGCUCUCUGGUUCUGAUGCUGCAAGUGCUAUUGCUACCAGGUGUCAUGCUCACUGCUGAACCCUGCCACACUGAGGAAACUGACUGUUUGGGGAUACCUAGGACCUGAUUUAGCUUAGCAAUGCAUCCAACAUGUUAUUCGUACAGAGGUUUCCAGUGCUGCCUUGAUAAUAAACUCUAAACCUGGCAGAUUUUCCACAAUCAUGUGCGAUAAACUUGCUAAAAAAAAAACUCAUUCUUGAACUAUCGUUCUCAUGUUCUUUUUCUGAAUGAUCUGACAAAGAAGUCGCCUAACUGUAAAUUUCUUGGUAUUUUAUUUGGUUUUGAUUUAAAACCAGCUCGCUGAAACGUACGAUGGUGAAAUGUGUUUUUGCUUGCCAGGAGAAUUCUUUGAAUUGCUUUAUUUCUUCAAGUGAUCUCUCAGUAUCACUUGUACCACAUCAGCUUCUGCUGUGUUAUUCUCAUUACAAAUCUCUCAGCAUAACCUACACAAUCCUUCUUUUCGGGUUUCGUAGUUCAGUCAAAUUAAAUUUGGACCAUAAGAGUUUUUUGGGAUAGAAGCAGCUUCAGCGUGCUGAAGAACCAGAGGCCCCUUGAAAAGACAGGAGAGAUCAUUGGACUGUAGGGACUGUGAACUUCUUCAGUGUGUCUGUGUGAAGUUGAGAAAGAUCUAAAAUGGACUGUUGUGGAGAAAGCAGAAAAUGCUGGAGAGGAACUGGCUGCAACUGGACAAAAGAGACCCAAGUUUUAUGGGAUGCUCAGUCUCUUGAAAAGGAAUAUUAAGUUAAUUUUAAGUGUUGCAAAUGCCUUCUGCGGGGCAUCUGCUGAGCAGAAAUUUCCUCUGCACUUUUCAAAGUCUGGUUUAGACAGGCUAAUAAAUCUCUGCCUCCCUUCAGCUGCAGAGGGUUGGCAUUUUAUGGCUUCAGAAGGUGAAGAAGAGAACGUUACAUCUUGUAUGAAAAGAUAAUUCUAGAGCAGCACCAAAGGAGUACACAGACUUCAUCACUUAAUGCUCUCUGCUAAGUAGCUGAGCGCGUUGUUUUAACGGAGAACAAAGGCUCAGAGUGCAGAAGGACUGAGAACUGAGAAGGCUGAGUAGACAGAAAGGAAACAGAUAUGUUUGCAGAGGAGGCUGGGGAGAUGUAAGGAAAUCUGUAUGCGUGCACAUGAUUUGU